rnacentral:rRNA from 1 species
CAGCCGCCGCGGGAAUACGGAGGGCGCGAGCGUUACCCGGAUUUACUGGGCGUAAAGGGCGUGUAGGCGGCCUGGGGCGUCCCAUGUGAAAGGCCACGGCUCAACCGUGGAGGAGCGUGGGAUACGCUCAGGCUAGAGGGUGGGAGAGGGUAGUGGAAUUCCCGGAGUAGCGGUGAAAUGCGCAGAUACCGGGAGGAACGCCGAUGGCGAAGGCAGCCACCUGGUCCACUUCUGACGCUGAGGCGCGAAAGCGUGGGGAGCAAACCGGAUUAGAUACCCGUGUAGUCCCUGUCUCUUAUAC